UGCUAUUUCUUUGGGUCGCUCCCGCGGCAUAUGGAGGUUCCCAGGCUAGGGGUCGAAUCGGAGCUGUAGCCACUGGCCUACGCCAGAGCCACAGCAACGCGGGAUCUGAGCCGCGUCUGCAACCUACACCACAGCUCACGGCAAUGCCAGAUCCUUAACCCACUGAGCAAGGGCAGGGACAGAACCUGCAACCUCAUAGUCCCUAGUCGGAUUCGUUAACCACUGCGCCACGACAGGAACUCCAUAAAACCAUCGAAUUCUUAAAUGAAAACAUAGAGGUAAACUUUUGUGAACUUCCAUUAGGUAACACACUCCAAAGUAAUAUACCAAAAUAAUGGUACACAAUUUUUAUUUCUUUCCUUUUUGGGGGGGGGGGUGUUGCAUCUGUGACAUAUGGAAAUCCCCAGGCUAGGGGCUGAAUCAGAGCUGCAGCUGCCAGCCUAUGCUAUAGCCACAACAAUGCCAGAUCUGAGCCAUGUCUGUGACCUACACCAUAGCUCAGAGCAAUGGUGAUCCUUUAACCCACUUAGUGAGUCCAGAGAUCAAUUCUGCAACCUAAUGGAUACUAAUCAGGUUCUUAACUUACUGAGCCGCAAUGGGAACUUCCACAAUUUUUUUUAAUAAAUGGAAAAGUCAAAAUCAAGAAAAAAAUUGUAUAUUUCAUGUUUUGUUGCUUGAAAAGUGGUGAAAUUAACUAAUUUAGGUUUCCUAUAGUAAAUUAAGAAUACAUGCUAUUUAAGAAAAUAAAACAAGUUACCAGAGCAAAGCUAACAGAAGAGAGAAAAAAAAUAAUCACAUAAAAAGCUCUUGAUCAUCUCAAGAGAAAGAUAAUUAACCAAAAAUGAAAAGAUAAGAGAUAAAAGGAAGAAAAAUGAAUAUACCAGAGAAAGAGAAAAUAAAUACUUACAAAGUAUAUUUAAACUAAAAUGUAUUGGUAUUUCAUGAAGUUUAUAUAGAAAUAAGUGCUUUGUUCUGGACUGAACUAUGUUCCCCCAGAAUUCAUAUGUUGAAGUCCUAAUGCUCCAUACCUCAGAAUGUGAUCUUAUCUGUAAACAGGGUUAUCGCAGAUAUAAUUAAUUAAAAUGAGGUAGGAUGGGCUCUUAAUCCAAUAUGACUAGUGUCUGUAUAUAAAAAAGGAAAUUUGGGAACAGACACACAGGGAGAAAACCAAAUGAAGAUGAAGAGAGAGACCAGAGAUGCUUCUACAAAUCAAGGAACAUCAAGGAUUGACAGAAAACUACUAGGAGUUAAGCAAAAGGCAUUUAGAUUCUUUCUCACACAGAUUUUUCUCUCACAGUCCUCAGAGAGAAGCAACUUGCCAACACUGUGAUCUCAGGCUUGUAACCUCCAAAACUGUUAAGACAGUAAGUUUCUGUUAUUGAAGCCACUCAGUUUUGGUACUUAUUGGGAAUUUUGUCAAAGAAGCCAUAGAAAACUAAUGCGAACUCCAGUUAAGCAAAUAAAUUUUCACACUAGAUUCAGAAUUUAAACUUUGUUGCCUAUAAGAGACACAUAUAUCAUGUAAAAAUAUAUAAAUGCUGAAAAUAAAAUAAACCUUUUCAUAUGUAAACACCGAAAAAAGAAAGCAAGGAUAGUUAUAUUAUUAUCAGAAAACAUGAACUUUAGGCCAAAAAAAGCAUUACUAGAGGAAAAGGAUACAUUUCAACAGGAUGAUGCACGAAUUAUAAAGCUAUAUGGUUUUUUAGUAAUGUAGCCUCAAAGAGUAUGAAGCAAUACAGUCAUUAUUUAAUACUAUGUCCUCUUGUAUACAACAGAAUCAACAGAGAAUAUAAAAACAAGAAUACAGAGUAGUUGAAUACAUGGUUCACUAGUUGAUCAUCUCAAGAGAUCAUAUUAAUAAACUUUACACACACAUACACAUAUAUACUAAACUUUGUGCAUUAACUGCAAAAGACAUUUAUUUCUUGGUCACAAAAUUUAUUUUUAAAAAUCAAAUAUUGUUUGAAUAAAAGAAGUCUAUAAAAAUUUCAAACUACUGAAUUAUUCACAAUAAUUUUUCAGACCACAGUUUUUUAAGCUAGAAUUAAUAAGAAAAAUAUAUCUAUAAAAUCUGCAUAUGUAUGGAAAUUACAUAUUUUAGAAAACAAAAAGACUGAAAAGCAAGGCCUAAUCAUCAUCCUUACAAUAUUUUAAAAGGAACAACAAACUACAUCCAAGGGAAGUAAAAAGAAAUAAAAUAAUAAAGACAAUGGCAGAAAUUACUGAAAUAGAAAAUAAACAUGCAAUAGGAAAAUCCAAUAAACCAAAAAUGGUAUUUAAAAUAACUAUUAAAAGUACUCACUAUCAAGACUGAUCAGGGUAAUAAAAAGGAAUGUCAUUAGAGAUAGGGUAUUUUAAAAAUAUGAAGAUGUUACAAUAACUUGGACCAUACAUUUAAAUAUUUACAACAUAUGAAUACAUUUUUAAAAAUUACAAUUAUCACACCAGUCUGACACAAGAAACUAUAAAAAUUUUGAACAUAUCUAUCACUAUUAAUGAGGAGGAAUCCAUAAUUAAAAUCCUCCUACAAGGAAAUCUUCAGGCACAGAUGGUUCUACUGAUUAGUACUUCCAAACAAGAAGAAAUAAUAGCAAUCUUACGUAUUCUUCCAGAGAUAAAAAAAAGAAAAACACUCUCAAUUUACAUCAUGAUGUCAUUAUAACAUUAAUACUAAAACUGAUGAGAGUGUUAUUAGAAGAGAAUUAUGAAUGAUAUUGCUAAGGAACAACAAGCGCAAACCUUCUUAACACCUUAAUAUUAAACUGAGUACAGCCACAUAUGUAAUGAAAAAAAACAUAACAAGUUUGGACUGACUUCAGGAAUUAUUUUUAACAUUUCAAAAUCAGUGUAGUUUUUUAAUAGGGUAAAGGAGAAAAAAUGAAUCAUUUAAAUUGAUAACAGUAAAAAUAAAAUUCAAUAUUCUUUCUGAUUAAAAAAAACCCUUUCUAGACUAGGAAUGGUCAGAAAGUACUUAACCUAAUAAGCGGUAUCCUAAAAAUAUUAUUCUUCAUGAUUAAAUACUAAAUAUUUUAUCUCUGAGUUAAUUAACAAAAUGAAGGUAUCCACCAUCACCACCUUUAUUUAGUAAUGUGUUGAAUGUUCUAGGCAGUAAAAUAAACAAGAAUAUAAAUAAUGGAAAGGAAGAAAUAAAACUAUAUUGUUUACGAACUGAUAAUAUACAAAGACAAGUCAAAGUUACAGAUAAAAAUAUAUCAUUUGCAAUAGGAGGAAAAGAGUCAAAUACCUAGGAUUACAUUUAGUGGAAAUGACAAAACAAAAAACAAACAAACAAAAGUAAACUAUUGAAUUAAAGAAUAAGCUAAAUAAAAAUACUAGAAAAUUCAGUAUUUUUAAAAUGUUAUUGAUUAAAACUCUACCCCAGGGGUUCCCGUUGUGGCCCAGUGGGUUACCAAUAUGACUAGUGUCCACUGGAGAUACUAAACUUGAAUAAGUACUAAAGGUAUUUCAAUCCCUGGCCUCACUCAGUGGAUUAAAGGAUCUGGCGUUGUUGCAAGCUGCAGUGUAGGUAACAGACACCUGGGAUCUUGCAUUGGUGUGGAGUAGGCUGGCAGCUAUAGCUCUGAUUCAUCCCCUAGCCUUGAGACUUGCAUAUAUGCUGAGGGUGUGGCCCUAAAAUGACAAAACAAAACAAAACAAAAAACUCCACCCCAAAUGACAAAGCAUGUAGAUUUAUUCUACCACAUAGCAUGACUUAUAAAGCUACAAUAUUAAACCAGUAUGACAUUAAGUAGCAUAAAGAGAAUGUAGGAGCAAACAACUAUCUAUACAUUUAAUAAUGAAAAACUCAUAGCCAAUUAUGUAAAUAAUCCUUAUAAAUAAAACAAACAAAAACAAAUUUAAAAGAUGUAAAAGACUUGAAUAAGUACUUUACUAAAGGUAUUUCAUAAAAGGCCAGUACACACACAGAGAGGAAUUCUACCUUAUUAGUCAUCAAGGAACUGCGGAUUACAAUUGCAAUGGUUUACCAUUACAUGUCUACGAACCUCAUUAAAAAAAAAAUUUCCGUCAACUCUAAGCAUGGUGAGAAUAGGCACAUUCAUACCCUUUUGGUAAACUGCAUAAGCACAAUCUGGCAUUUUCUACUUAAUGCUGAACAUACACAUAUACACUAGGACCCAGAUUUUCCACACACAGCAUAUACCCAACACCAAUGCA
rnacentral:lncRNA from 1 species